rnacentral:lncRNA from 1 species
GAUUCCGGGAAGCAGUUGGUUCCCUGCACGGUCCAGCCCCUUUUCCUGGUGGAUUCCAGCGCCGUCGACGUCGGAUCCGGGGAUCUUCCCAUCUUUUUCGAGCUGGGGGAGGGGCCCUGCUUCCCGGACGAGUAUCCCGAGGAAUAUCCCGAGGAAUAUCCCGAGGAAUAUCCCGAGGAAUAUCCCGAGGAUCCCGCGCUGCUCCCGCGGCCGCCCACGCCCCGCGACCCGGCCGUCUCCUAAAACAAAAAAAUCCGGGAUCGAGGACAAGGGAUUGGAUCCCCGGGAAAAAAACAAAUCCUGGGGAAAAAAAAAAAGGAUUCCCAGGAAAAGAAAAAAAUCCCGGAAAAAAAAUCCCGGGAAACAAAAAAAUCCCGGGAAAAAAAGGAUUCCCGGGAAAAGAAAGGAUUUGGGGAAAAAAAGGAUUCCCGGGAAAAGGGAAGGAAUCUUCGCACAAAAUCCCGGAGGCGCCGCUCUCCCGGCUCGGAGCGGAAUUCUGGGGGAUCCCGGGGGAUCUUGGAGCGUUCCUGGGGAUCUUGGAGAGUCACCAGGGAUUCCGGAGGGUUCCGGGAAAUCUUGGAGGUUUCUGGAAUGUUCUGGGGCAUUCCAGAGGAUCCCAGGAAGUCCUGGAGGAUCCCAGAGGAUCCCAGAAUGUCACGAGGGAUUCCAGAGGAUCCCAGAAAAUCCUGGAGGAUCCCGGAGGAUCCCAGAAAAUUCUGGAGGAUUCCAGAGGAUUCCAGAAAAUUCUGGAGGAUUCCAGAGGAUCCCAGAAAAUCCUGGAGGAUCCCAGAGGAUCCCAGAAAAUUCUGGAGGAUUCCAGAGGAUUCCAGAAAAUUCUGGAGGGUCCUGGAGGAUUCCAGAGGAUCCCAGAAAAUCCCAGAGGAUCCCAGAGCAUCACAAGAAAUUCCAGAGGAUUCCUGGAAAUCCUAGAGGAUCCCAGAAAAUUCCAGAGGGUCCCAGAGGAUUCCAGAACGUCCUGGAAAACUCCAGAAGAUCCCAGAAAAUCCUGGAUGGUCCCAGAGGAUCCCUCGGUUCCUGAGGCGUUCCCAAAGUUCCCAGAUUCCCAGGAAAAGCGGGAUCUGCCCAAAUCCCGGGGUAUCCCAGAAAAUCCGGCGGGAUCCCGAAAUCCACGGGAAGCGGAAACCCCGGGAAUUCCGGAGGGAUCCCGGAAUUCCAUCCCGGAAUUCCACAGCGUCCCAAACCCGGCCAGCGC